rnacentral:rRNA from 1 species
GACGAACGCUGGCGGCGUGCCUAAUACAUGCAAGUCGAGCGGGCCUCCGGAGGUGCUUGCACCUCCGGAAGGCCAGCGGCGGACGGGUGAGUAACACGUGGGCAACCUGCCUUUGAGGCCGGGAUAACACCGGGAAACCGGUGCUAAUACCGGAUACGUCCUCUUUCGCGCCUGCGAGAGGGGAGAAAGACGGUCUUUAAGGCCGUCGCUCAAAGAGGGGCCCGCGGCGCAUUAGCUGGUUGGUGGGGUAAGGGCCUACCAAGGCGACGAUGCGUUGCGGACCUGAGAGGGUGAUCGGCCACCCUGGGACUGAGACACGGCCCAGACUCCUGCGGGAGGCAGCAGUAGGGAAUCAUCCGCAAUGGGCGAAGGCCUGACGGUGCAACGCCGCGUGAGUGAGGAAGGUUUUCGGAUCGUAAAGCUCUGUUGUGAGGGAAGAACAGCUUCCGGAGGAAAUGCCGGAGGUUUGCCGGUACCUCACCAGAAAGCCCCGGCUAACUACGUGCCAGCCGCCGCCGUAAAAC